rnacentral:lncRNA from 1 species
CUUUAAGUUUUUCUAAGUAUAAGAUUAUAUUGGCUAGGCGUGGUGGCUCAUGCCUAUAAUCCUAGCACUUUGGGAGGCCAAAGUGGGUGGAUCACUUCAACCCAGGAGUUUGAGACCAGCCUGGGCAACAUGGCAAAACCCCAUCUCCACAAAAAAUACAAAAAUUAGCCAGACAUAGUGGUGUGUGCCUGUAGUCCCAUCUACUCAGGAGGCUGAGGCAGGAGGAUUGCUUGAGCCUGGGAGGUUGAGGCUGGAAUGCAGUUACACCACUGCACUCCAGCCUGGAUGACACAGAGAGGGAGACCCUGUCUCAAAAAAAAAAAAAAAAAAAAAAUUAUGUCAUCUGUGAACCAGACUGAUUCGACUUCUUCCUUUCCCAUUUGGAAGCCCUUUAUUUCUGUCUCUUGCCUAAUUGCUCUGGCCAGAAUAAAACUCUUUUUAACCGUAGAGAAAACUGAGCAGCCAUAGUCUACCAAUGAGUUAGGCUUUGGAGAUGGUGUGUCCUAUGUUCUGAAUAUUUGCAUCCCUCACCAAAUCCAAAUGUUGAAAUCCUCAUCCCUAAGGCAAUGGUACUAGGCAGUCGAAGCCUUUAGGAGGUGAUUAUAUUACAAAGGUUGAACCCUCAUGAGUGAGAUUUGUGUCCUUAUAAAAUAGGCCUGAGACCCCUUACUUCCACCUUGUGAGGACACAGUGAGAAGAUUCCCUCCAUUAGGAAGGUGGCCCUCAACCAGACACCAAAUCUGCUGUUGCCUUGAUCUUGGACUUCCCAGCUUCAGAACUAGUUUCACUCUAUCUCCCAGGCUGGAGUGCAGUCACAUGAUCUCGGCUCACUGCAAGCUCCACUUCCUGAGUUCAAGCGGUUCUCCUGCCUCUGCUUCCUGAGUAGCUGGGACUACAGGCACACACCACCAUGCCCAGCUAACUUCUGCUUUUUUGUAGAAACGGGAUUUCACCAUGUUGGCCAGGCUGGUCUCGAAUGCCUGACCUCAAGUACCUGCCUCGGCCUCCCAAAGCACUGGGAUUACAGGCGGUGGAGUACAGUGGCACAAUCAUGGCUCACUGCAGGUUCCACCUCCUGGUCUCAAGCAACUCUUCUGCCUCAGCCUCCCGAGUAGCUGGGACUAUAGGCUCAGGCUGGAUGUAUACCGUCAGCUCUCCUGGAUUUGAACUUCUCAGCCUCCAUAACUGUGUGAGUCAAUUCAUUAUAAUAAACAAAUCUCUCUCUCUAUCUCUAUUUCUCUACAUCUCUGUGUCCAUACAUCCUAUUGGGUCUGUCUCUCUGGAGAACCCUGAGUAA